rnacentral:misc_RNA from 1 species
ACUGGAGUGUUUGGCCAUUAUCACCUUUGUUGGUGGCAAAGAACCUGAGGAAACAGAAGAGUCUAUGCAAUUGAUGUGGCAAGUCAUCAAUCCAAAACUGGGUCCCAAUGUGGCUACUGCUAAACCUUCACCAGUAAUGAUAACAGCAGUUGUAUCUUCUUGGUCUUUCCUUCUUACUACCAUGGAUGGGUGGACACUAAACCCAA